UACGAAGGGGGCUAGCGUUGCUCGGAAUUACUGGGCGUAAAGCGCACGUAGGCGGCUUUCUAAGUCGGGGGUGAAAUCCUGGAGCUCAACUCCAGAACUGCCUUCGAUACUGGAAAGCUCGAGUCCGGAAGAGGUGAGUGGAACUCCGAGUGUAGAGGUGAAAUUCGUAGAUAUUCGGAAGAACACCAGUGGCGAAGGCGGCUCACUGGUCCGGUACUGACGCUGAGGUGCGAAAGCGUGGGGAGCAAACAGG
rnacentral:rRNA from 1 species